UGGGGAAUAUUGCGCAAUGGGGGCAACCCUGACGCAGCCAUGCCGCGUGAAUGAAGAAGGCCUUCGGGUUGUAAAGUCCUUUCGGUAGCGAGGAAGGCAUUUAGUUUAAUAGACUAGGUGACUGACGUUAACUACAGAAGAAGCACCGGCUAACUCCGUGCCAGCAGCCGCGGUAAUACGGAGGGUGCGAGCGUUAAUCGGAAUAACUGGGCGUAAAGGGCACGCAGGCGGUGACUUAAGUGAGGUGUGAAAGCCCCGGGCUUAACCUGGGAAUUGCAUUUCAUACUGGGUCGCUAGAGUACUUUAGGGAGGGGUAGAAUUCCACGUGUAGCGGUGAAAUGCGUAGAGAUGUGGAGGAAUACCGAAGGCGAAGGCAGCCCCUUGGGAAUGUACUGACGCUCAUGUGCGAAAGCGUGGGGAGCAAACAGGAUUAGAUACCCUGGUAGUCCACGCUGUAAACGAUGUCGAUUUGGGGGUUGAACUUUAAGUUUGGCGCCCGUAGCUAACGUGAUAAAUCGACCGCCUGGGGAGUACGGCCGCAAGGUUA
rnacentral:rRNA from 1 species